AGUCAGAUCCUUUUCAUCAAGCUAUGACAGAGAUGUCCAAGCUGCUGCACAGAUGAGGGCAAUCUCCCCCAUCGUGGCUGAGACAGGAGCUACAGAAGGAUAUGCUGUCCUGUGGCCAGCACUUCCAACUGUACCAGGACAAAGGAGAGAAGCUGGUGAUAAGUCACAUUCAAUCUGUGCUAUAGUCACUGGAGAGUUUGACUGAAAAAAGAAGACUGAAAGAGGGACUGUCAUAAUAAUUAAAAAAUAUUCAUGGUUGCUGAAUGGAUUCUAGAAUGAAUGGCACAACACUGUAAAGUCAACUGCACCCUCCUGAAAUCAUCUGGCAGUAAGUAGUAUUAAGAAUGUUGUGUUUGAUGUAAAAGAUUAAAAAUUCACUGUAUAGGAAAUAGAACUACUAAGGUUGCUGGCUGAAGAUCUUAAGACAUAAAAGGUAUUAGAUUACCUGCUAUUCUUUGCUUUAAUCUAACAUAUAAAUGUUUUAUUGUGGUCAAACUCAACUCUUGGAUUCAAAGUCACUAUCAAACAAAUCAGACGUAUCAAACAAAAGCACUUCAUCAAAACAAACAAACAAAAAAAAACCAACUCUUUGAAUAGAUAGUGGGAGUUUCAUAGGGCACUUCUGCAUGGAUCGGUGUGAUGCUGUGUCCAGAAAGCGACACAACCCGUUCAGAUCCUUAGGGAUCUGUGACAGAGCCAGUGCUCCUUCUGCAGGAGGGUUUAAAAAAAAAAAGUUCAGAAAUAAAACUGACAGGACUAACUCAAUGAACUAAAAUAAAAAUGAACUAAAAUAAAAUAAAAAUGAGAACUGAAACACCACCCAGUUAUUCUCCUGGACCUCUCGAAAUAAAGAGUACUUUAAACAUUGUAAUGCUAGUUCACUGCUCAUUAAUUCUGUAACUUUAAUGACACACUAAGGGUGAACAGGGAUAUUUUGCAGUGCUUAGCAGACAUAUCAGAGGAUCAACACUCACAGACUGAGUUUGUUAAUUAUAGUAUAGUUAUUUUUACAGUUAAUUUUCUGUAGUUUUAAAAUGUGAUACCUAUAUAAAAUUAAAGAAUAUAAAAGAAUAUAAAAUCGAGAUUUUAUAUUCUUUUUAAAACUAUUUAGUGAUAGUUAAGAGUUAACUCUGAAGGCUGUUAUUAUCUAUAGAUAUAUCCCAUUAACACCUGAAGACUGCUAAAACAUUAGUUUCCCUAAUAUGUUGCAAUAGUUGGAUGAAAACUGCCACAAGGAUAGAAGCAAAAAGGAGAACCUUUAGGAACUUUAAGAACUUGGGAAGGAUUGUGGUACAUACUUAACUUACAGUGACAGUGGAAAAUAAUAUUUCAUUAGAGAAAAUAUAACUAGAUUUUAGCACCCAAAAAAACCUAAACCAAACCAAACCAAACCAAACCAAAAACAAACAAAUAAACAAACAAAAAAAAAUUGUGGUAAUUUCAAAAAAAAAUUACUACAUUAGAAAAGCCACAUCAAUUAGAAAAAAGGGAAUAAAUGGAGGAAACAGAAUAAGGUGACUACAAAGAGAUACUGACUUUGCAAACUCUGAAACAGCCCCCAGCUAAGCAGUGAAAUGAUAAUAAAUAUGCUAAUACUCAUUUCAGUACUAUGGAAAAGACAGAGCUGAAUUCAUUUGGCCAAACAAACACAGGUGUCUAGUGCCAAGGGAGAUGCCCUGGAGUAGUAGAUCAGUGAGCUGCCACUGGGGGGCAGGAUGGGCAUUUGAUCUUGGGUACCAACCCCAGGGGCUCUGUCCCUGGCAGGGCUGGGGCUUGUGAUUUGGGAAGGGAGUCCAGCUCCAGGCAGAGCUGGCAACUUCCUCCUAUCACUGGUGGAGGCAGAAGCCUGCCAGCACAAGAGAUGAUCCAAGGUCAUUUUGUCUGUUUUGUUUGUUUGUUAUCUGUAUACCUGUAACCAGCACUUGGUCAUGUUAAAGCAAGUACACUGCAGUAAGCAGCUGUGAUUCACAUAGAUAAAAUGCUGAAUGAUUUUCUGCAGAAAUUUCUGCUCUUGAUUACUUCAAGCUGAUGUGAAAUCAAAUGAAAGAAGUUGAUUCUGUCCUGAACAUUUUACUUGCAGCCAUUUGGUGAUGAUACUCAUUAAUCAAGGUAAAACUCAUUGUAUUGCUUCAUUUCUGUCAUUAUAGGGAAAUGGUACUUUGCUUCAGAUCCAAAGGGUGGCAUAAUUUUAUCUUCUGUAUGACAGAUUCUCUUCUGCAUGUAAUUGCUUCCUUAUGUCAUUCACCAUUAAACUAUGUGUAUUUUA